rnacentral:rRNA from 1 species
GACGAACGCUGGCGGCGUGCUUAACACAUGCAAGUCGAACGGAAGGGCCCUGCUUUUGUGGGGUGCUCGAGUGGCGAACGGGUGGGUAACACGUGAGUAACCUGCCCUUGACUUUGGGAUAACUUCAGGAAACUGGGGCUAAUACCGGAUAGGAGCUCCUGCUGCAUGGUGGGGGUUGGAAAGUUUCGGCGGUUGGGGAUGGACUCGCGGCUUAUCAGCUUGUUGGUGGGGUAGUGGCUUACCAAGGCUUUGACGGGUAGCCGGCCUGAGAGGGUGACCGGCCACAUUGGGACUGAGAUACGGCCCAGACUCCUACGGGAGGCAGCAGUGGGGAAUAUUGCACAAUGGGCGGAAGCCUGAUGCAGCAACGCCGCGUGCGGGAUGACGGCCUUCGGGUUGUAAACCGCUUUCGCCUGUGACGAAGCGUGAGUGACGGUAAUGGGUAAAGAAGCACCGGCUAACUACGUG